UGCCCCGAAGAGGAUCCAGCCGGGAUCGGCCUGCCGGGAAUGGGGGCCGGGAUGGGGACGGAGCCGGCCGGGAGCAGGGACGGGACCGCAGCCCUGAUUUUGGAAGGGAAUUGUUGCCAUGGAAACGCAUCCCGUCCUUUUUGACCGCCAGCGCUGAGGAAUGUUCACUCAGCACAAGGAUCCUGGGGCGAGGCCAGUCCCAGGAGAGCCAAACAUUCCUGAAAACACCAGGAUUUUGUUCCUGAAAAGGAGUUUAAUGCCUGCCUGAGCCGAGCCACGGCAUUUUCCGCUCCGCUGCUGCCAUCGAUGUCCUUGUCUGGGAAUAAAGGCUCCAAACCCCGAUCGAUACCAGCACAACCUCCCAGUCAGAAUUUCAACAUUCACACCCUUCCUGGAUCUCUCGCUUCUCCUGGAUCCCAUCCUGCUGCUGGUCCUCAUCCCGCUGCUGGAUCCCAUCCUGCCCCUGGAUCCCAUUUUCCCCAAAACAGGCCAAGUCUGGAGCACAGGAAGAGCAAUCCAAGGAUUUGGUCCCUUUGUGGCUUUGCCAUGAACCGGGAGCUGGGGGGUGGCUGAGGAUGGAAUUUCCAUGAGGUGUCAAAAGAGUGGGAGAGGGA